rnacentral:rRNA from 1 species
ACAUCCAGCGAACUUGGCAGAGAUGCCUGGUGCCUUCGGGAACGCUGAGACAGGUGCUGCAUGGCUGUCGUCAGCUCGUGUUGUGAAAUGUUGGGUUAAGUCCCGNAACGAGCGCAACCCUUAUCCUUUGUUGCCAGCGAUUCGGUCGGGAACUCAAAGGAGACUGCCGGUGAUAAACCGGAGGAAGGUGGGGAUGACGUCAAGUCAUCAUGGCCCUUACGAGUAGGGCUACACACGUGCUACAAUGGCGCAUACAAAGAGAAGCGACCUCGCGAGAGCAAGCGGACCUCAUAAAGUGCGUCGUAGUCCGGAUCGGAGUCUGCAACUCGACUCCGUGAAGUCGGAAUCGCUAGUAAUCGUGGAUCAGAAUGCCACGGUGAAUACGUUCCCGGGCCUUGUACACACCGCCCGUCACACCAUGGGAGUGGGUUGCAAAAGAAGUAGGUAGCUUAACCUUCGGGAGGGCGCUUACCACUUUGUGAUUCAUGACUGGGGUGAAGUCGUAACAAGGUAAGCGUAGCGAG